AUGAGCAAGACGUCCUGGCCGGAGGUGGUGGGCUGGCCGGCGACGCAGGCCGUGACGCAGAUCAACGCCGACAGACCCGACGUGGCGAUCGAGGUGGUCCCCAAUGGCACCACCGUCGCCCCGGGGUACAACGCCGAGCGCGUCCGCGUCUUCUUUGACGCCGGCAACGCCAGCGGCCCCGUCGUGGGAACCCCUGCCGUCGGCUAG
rnacentral:rRNA from 1 species